GAAAUCUGGUAGCCUUCGGUUGCCCGAGUUGUAAUCUAGAGAAGUGUUUUCCGCGUUGGCCCAUGUACAAGUCCCUUGGAACAGGGCGUCAUAGAGGGUGAGAAUCCCGUCCUUGACAUGGACCCCCAAUGCUUUGUGAUACACUUUCAACGAGUCGAGUUGUUUGGGAAUGCAGCUCAAAAUGGGUGGUGAAUUCCAUCUAAAGCUAAAUAUUGGCGAGAGACCGAUAGCGAACAAGUACCGUGAGGGAAAGAUGAAAAGCACUUUGGAAAGAGAGUUAAACAGUACGUGAAAUUGUUGAAAGGGAAACGAUUGAAGUCAGUCAUGCUCUUUGGUUUAAGCCGUUCUGCGGUGUAUAUCAUUGAGUGGGGUCAACAUCAGUUUUGACCGCUGGAAAAGGGCAGGAGGAAGGUAGCACCCCCGGGUGAACUUAUAGCCUCUUGUCGUAUACAGUGGUUGGGACUGAGGAACGCAGCAUGCCUUUUGGCCGGGAUUCGUCCACGUACAUGCUUAGGAUGUUGACAUAAUGGCUUUAA
rnacentral:rRNA from 1 species